rnacentral:tRNA from 1 species
AGAGGCUUAGGAUAGCACUUAGACCAAAGGCCUUCAAAGCCUUAAGCGGGAGUGAGAAUCUCCCAGCCCCUG